GACGAACGCUGGCGGCGUGCCUAAUACAUGCAAGUUGAGCGCUGAAGGUUGGUACUUGUACCAACUGGAUGAGCAGCGAACGGGUGAGUAACGCGUGGGGAAUCUGCCUUUGAGCGGGGGACAACAUUUGGAAACGAAUGCUAAUACCGCAUAAAAACUUUAAACACAAGUUUUAAGUUUGAAAGAUGCAAUUGCAUCACUCAAAGAUGAUCCCGCGUUGUAUUAGCUAGUUGGUGAGGUAAAGGCUCACCAAGGCGAUGAUACAUAGCCGACCUGAGAGGGUGAGCGGCCACAUUGGGACUGAGACACGGCACAAACGCCUACAGGAGGCAGCAGUAGGGAAUCUUCGGCAAUGGACGAAAGUCUGACCGAGCAACGCCGCGUGAGUGAAGAAGGUUGUCGGAUCGUAAAACUCUGUUGGUAGAGAAGAACGUUGGUGAGAGUGGAAAGCUCAUCAAGUGACGGUAACUACCCAGAAAGGGACGGCUAACUACGUG
rnacentral:rRNA from 1 species